rnacentral:tRNA from 1 species
GCGGGAGUGGUGAAACGGCAGCCACGCCAGGUUUAGGUCCUGGUGCCCGGAAGGGCGUGCGGGUUCGACUCCCGUCUCCCGCACGA